rnacentral:rRNA from 1 species
GACGAACGCUGGCGGCGUGCUUAACACAUGCAAGUCGAACGGAAAGGCCCUGCUUGCCGGGUACUCGAGUGGCGAACGGGUGAGUAACACGUGGGUGAUCUGCCCUGCACUUCGGGAUAAGCCUGGUAAACUGGGUCUAAUACCGGAUAGGAGCCAUUUUUAGUGUGAUGGUUGGAAAGUUUUUUCGGUGUAGGAUGAGCUCGCGGCCUAUCAGCUUGUUGGUGGGGUAAUGGCCUACCAAGGCGGCGACGGGUAGCCGGCCUGAGAGGGUGGACGGCCACCUUGGGACUGAGAGACGGCCCAGACUCCUACGGGAGGCAGCAGUGGGGAAUAUUGACCAAGGGGCGCCAGCCUGAUGCAGCGACGCCGCGUGGGGGAUGACGGCCUUAGGGUUGAAAACUCAUUUCGCUAGGGACGAAGCUUUUUGUGACGGUACCUAGAUAAGAAGCACCGGCUAACUACGUG